GUUACAUCCUCCUUUUUAUUUUUUAUUUUGAGACCGGGUCUUGCUAAGUUGCUGAGGAUGGCCUUAAAAUUGUGAUCCUCCUACCUCAGUCUCCCGAGUUACUGGCAUUACAGGUGUGUGCCACAGACCCAGCAGAAGGGGUGUAACGUGCCCUACAAAUCUGUAGCAGACCUAUUGAUCUUUUGGUGUAUGCAUGGUUAUUCAGGGGAAGAGGGAUAGCUUACUAGAAAUGGAAAGACCAUUGUAAUAGUGCUAGAUCCUGUUAUCUUUCUGGUAUAAUGGUGUCUAUAGAUAAGUUUUAACUAGAAUCCUUGGAGCUUUAAGCCUUAGCGGCUCUGGCAAUAAAGGGUUAAUAGGUGAGUAUGAUGGUGUGUAUAGACAGGUUUUAACUAGAAUCCUUGGAGCUUUAAGCCUUAGUGGCUCUGGCAAUAAAGGGUUAAUAGGUGAGUAUGAUAUUACAUACACAGCUGCAUUGCUCAGUAUGGUAUAGGGAAAAAAGCCCUGCAUUUCACAUCUGAAGACUUUGUCUCUCAGUUCUCCCAUUUAAAAAGGCCUUUGACAAAGCCUUUAUAAUUCUCUGAUCCUUAGGUUUUCUAUGAGCAUCUGUAUCUGCUCUGUUUAUUCCUUACAGGGCUAUUAUAAGA
rnacentral:lncRNA from 1 species